rnacentral:rRNA from 1 species
ACAGGGAGAAGCCCAGCACUGAAGCCCGUGGUCGGAAACGGCUACUGGGCAAUGUAGUGUUUGGGAGAGCCCGUUUAACCCGAGUAUUGUUAGCGUGUCCAAGUCCUUCUUGAAGGGGGCCACUCGCCCGUAGUGGGUGCCAGGCCCGUAGUGACCGUUGAUAUGUUCGGGUGGGUUUCUCCUUAGAGUCGGGUUGCUUGAGAGUGCAGCUCUAAGUGGGUGGUAAACUCCAUCUAAGGCUAAAUAUUACCACGAGACCGAUAGCGAACAAGUACCGUGAGGGAAAGUUGAAAAGAACUU